rnacentral:rRNA from 1 species
AACGAACGCUGGCGGCAUGCCUAACACAUGCAAGUCGAACGAAGCCUUCGGGCUUAGUGGCGCACGGGUGCGUAACGCGUGGGAAUCUGCCCUUUGGUUCGGAAUAACAGUUGGAAACGACUGCUAAUGCCGGAUGAUGACGAAAGUCCAAAGAUUUAUCGCCAGAGGAUGAGCCCGCGUAGGAUUAGCUAGUAGGUGUGGUAAAGGCGCACCAAGGCGACGAUCCUUAGCUGGUCUGAGAGGAUGAUCAGCCACACUGGGACUGAGACACGGCCCAGACUCCUACGGGAGGCAGCAGUGGGGAAUAUUGGACAAUGGGCGAAAGCCUGAUCCAGCAAUGCCGCGUGAGUGAUGAAGGCCCUAGGGUUGUAAAGCUCUUUUACCCGGGAUGAUAAUGACAGUACCGGGAGAAUAAGCCCCGGCUAACUCCGUGCCAGCCGCCGCCGUAA